rnacentral:rRNA from 1 species
CUCGAGCGGCGAACGGGUGAGUAACACGUGAGCAACCUGCCCCUGACUCUGGGAUAAGCCCGGGAAACUGGGUCUAAUACCGGAUACGACCGCCUCCGGCAUCGGGUGGUGGUGGAAAGUUUUUCGGUUGGGGAUGGGCUCGCGGCCUAUCAGCUUGUUGGUGGGGUAGUGGCCUACCAAGGCGACGACGGGUAGCCGGCCUGAGAGGGCGACCGGCCACACUGGGACUGAGACACGGCCCAGACUCCUACGGGAGGCAGCAGUGGGGAAUAUUGCGCAAUGGGCGGAAGCCUGACGCAGCGACGCCGCGUGGGGGAUGACGGCCUUCGGGUUGUAAACCUCUUUCAGCAGGGACGAAGUUGACGUGUACCUGCAGAAGAAGCGCCGGCUAACUACGUGCCAGCAGCCGCGGUAAUACGUAGGGCGCAAGCGUUGUCCGGAAUUAUUGGGCGUAAAGAGCUCGUAGGUGGCUUGUCGCGUCGGAUGUGAAAGCCCGCAGCUUAACUGCGGGUCUGCAUUUGAUACGGGCAGGCUAGAGGUAGGUAGGGGAGA